CAGGUUUUUCCAGCCGUGAGUCCAACGUGGUAACUCACCGCGGGGCUGCCCGAACUUGCCCAGGUUUCCGGCUCUCCCUCCUGCGCGCCCAGCUCUCCACCGACAAGCACACGCCCUGCGGUCUGACGCGCACCCGGCCCGGCCACAGGGCGGGUCCCAACCCCGUGCUCCAGGCUCCGUCCACACGGGGGAAGAAUCCUGGUCACGGUGGGAACAAGACACGCGCACGCGGAGCAGAAGGGGACCAACCGCGCAGACCGAGAAGUCAGAGGUCAGUGGCCAGAGUCUCGCCCCCCGACUCCCAGGAGUGAGGGGUCCUGAAUCCGGGGUUCACCGUUCUCUUCAUUUCCUCCACUUUCCCCACAAACACGCGCGACCCCGUCGGCGCCCACGGCUGCUCUGCUUUUUCCAGGCCCACCCUGAGCCGGGCUGGACGCUCAUCCCCUCGAUGGGCAGCUCCAGUGCCCUGUGCCCCCCGGGACGUUCCCUCGGCCGCGACAGAGGGUGGCCCCACCGCGUGGCUUGUCCAGCCCGGCCACGCCUCCAAGACCCUCCACGGCCCUAGGCUGCCGUCCCCUCCGCUCACCCCUUUGGGACCCCACAGACACGCCUCCUCCAGGAAGCUCUCCUGGGUCCUCCCUCCGGCCCCCGCUCCAUCCUCUGUCCCGUCGCCCUGACACACACGUCCAACAGCAGCGAGAUGACCUGCGGUGUGGCCGGACCUCAGCUCUGUGUCGGCCGCCGGCCGCAGCCGCCCACGCACGCGGGGCCGGAGAAACCGCCAGGGGCCUUGGAUCAGAGGAGGCGGACGUCUGGCUCCUGGGAGGAAGCCCAGCAAAAAGGAGCGCAGAGAAGCAGCCGUUCGCUCCGGCCCGGCCGAUGGGACUUCCCGCGGCCAUGAAACGAUCCUGGGGCCUCGGGGCGGGGUGGCCGCCAGCCCCGAGAAUCUGGUCCUUUUAUUUCCUUGAAACCAUCAGGCGGCCAGCGACCCCUUUAUUGCAGAUCCAAACGGCAGCAGAUUCUGGUUAUUCGCAGACCCUGUGUUUGCGAUUCCACCGCCCGUUGAAGUCAGUUUGUAUCUAUUUGCAAAUGUAUUUGUGAAGCGUGUUUAUACACUUGCAAAACGCAUCCUAAGUGGAUGCUCUGUCGCUCUCGGGGUCAUUCCAGCGGAAAGGAGCCGCCCGAGGCGCCCGUGGCGGAACCAGGCGACGUCGCCUUCUGAAGCCGCUCGGCGUGGACACCAGGGUCCUUUUCGUGGCUUAUUCGGUGCCGCGUGUUUUCAUCUGGUGCUUUUUGUGGGUGAUUCCGCCGUGUAUGUGGCCCCCGGGGUCGCGCUGAGGUGCCGGCCAGGGUCCCUGAGCACGAGGUGGCCGCGAUGCACCUCUGGGAGGAGAUGCGUGCGGACACGGCGUCCGUCAGGUGUGAGUUAAGCGCCGCUGGCCGUGGGUUCGAGGCUCGCGGAUGGACAAUAUACAGGAAAUGAGAUGUCUUACGCAGGAACGCACGUGACACAGACGACGGAUUGACGGGCGGAUGGAAAUAUGGUGACUGCAGGCUCGCAGGACCCUGACCCUGUAUUUCCCGCAGGAGCGGGGGGUCAGUGCUAAUUCCGCGUCCGUGGAGGUGCCCCAAUUAUGCAGCAGUUUGCAAACGGAACGUGCCGUGAGUCCUCAGAUCGAGAGAACGUCCCCAGGUCCCCAGCGGUGCCCUCCACCCUUCUUGGCCACUGACUCGCCAGAGUGCCCCGGCCCGGGUUCCAGCACCAUCCGUGGGUUUUGCCCCAUCGAGAGCCUCAUUCACCUGGAAUCCCACAGCGUCUGUUCAUGUGUCGGCUUCUUUCCCGUUGCUGUGAGCAGCUGUUCUUUUUCUUUGCUGCGUAGUAUUCCACUGUGUGACCUCACCACAAACGAUGUCUCUGUUCUGUGGUUGGCAAGCGCCUCGGUUCUUUCCAGGGUUUGUCUGUUAGGUUUUUUUCCAAAAAAGCUGCCGUGGAGAUUUCUGUCAAGGCUCUUGUUGACUGUUUUCCCCACGUUUCUCUUGGGUAAACACGCGGGAGCUCGAGCCCCUCUGCUCAGACGAGGUAAACGGGCAAGUUCACGAGAAGCUGCUGAGUGGAUUCCAAGGCGGCCGGACCGUCCCUGCCACCAGGGGCGUCUCCAGUUCCGCCUGCCCCGUCCUCGCCUGCGCUUGGCAUUUCCACCCUUCGUCUCAGCGAUUUCUUCAAAACAGCUUUAUUAAAUGUAAUUCACAUACCAUGCAGCUCGCCGUGUAGACGGUACAAUUCAGUGCUUUUCAGUACAUUCAGGGCGUUGUGCAAACAUCACUACAAUCAAUUUUAGAACAUUUCACCACCGGGAAAGAAAUGCCUGACAUCGGUGGUCACCCCCCACCAACUCCCGGCCCCCACAAGCCCGCUCUCUGUCUGUGGAUCUGCCUGUUCUGGAUGUUUCCCGUCCAUGGGGUCACACGCCGUGUGUCCUUCUGCUUCUGCUUCUCUCCCUGAGCGUUGUGUGUUCAGGUCCGUCCACGUGAAGCCGUGUCAGGGCCUCGCUCCUCUUCACGGCUGCGUCGUGUUCCAGCGUGUGGAUGGACACGUGUGUGGGUGGACACGUGUCCAGCUUUGGCUGUCGUGAGUCAUGCCGCAGUGGACACGUGUCCGUGCGUGUUUUCAGUUCUCUGGGUCACGGAGCGGGGAUUGGAGUUGCUGGGUCAGGCGGCAGCUCUGUGCUGCCCGUCCGCACGUCCGCCCUCACUGGGACCCGCGCGUGCACACACACACACACACACACACAGAGGCAGAGCCGCUGGGUCAAGCUGGGGCCAGAACGCUCACUCAACCUCUCUGGUCUUGGAAAAGGAAAUGAUAGUAUUUCCUACUCAGAAUGAAAGGGUUAAACAGGAAGGCGUGGAGGGAGGGGCCGUCCCAGCUCCCACACUGCGGACAGGAUGGGGGAUCUGCC
ensembl:lncRNA